GUGGGGAAUAUUGGACAAUGGGCGCAAGCCUGAUCCAGCAAUGCCGCGUGGGUGAAGAAGGUCUUCGGAUCGUAAAGCCCUUUCGACAGGGACGAUGAUGACGGUACCUGUAGAAGAAGCCCCGGCUAACUUCGUGCCAGCAGCCGCGGUAAUACGAAGGGGGCUAGCGUUACUCGGAAUUACUGGGCGUAAAGGGCGCGUAGGCGGCUCUGUUAGUCAGGCGUGAAAUUCCUGGGCUUAACCUGGGGACUGCGCUUGAUACUGCAGGGCUUGAGGCCGAGAGAGGGUGGUGGAAUUCCCAGUGUAGAGGUGAAAUUCGUAGAUAUUGGGAAGAACACCGGUGGCGAAGGCGACCACCUGGCUCGGUUCUGACGCUGAGGCGCGACAGUGUGGGGAGCAAACAGGAUUAGAAACCCUUGUAGUCC
rnacentral:rRNA from 1 species